rnacentral:rRNA from 1 species
GACGAACGCUGGCGGCGUGCCUUACACAUGCAAGUCAAGGAGAAAGUUUCCUUCGGGAAGCGAGUAAACUGGCGCACGGGUGAGUAACGCGUAGGUUAUCUGCCCUAAUCCGGGACAUAACGUCGGGAAACCGGCGCUAAUAUCCCAUGAGGUACUUCGGUAUCAAAGCUUCGGUGGAUUAGGAUGAGCCUGCGUCUGAUUAGCUUGUUGGUGGGGUAACGGCUCACCAAGGCGACGAUCAGUAGCUGGUCUGGGAGGACGAUCAGCCACACUGGAACUGAGACACGGUCCAGACUCCUACGGGAGGCAGCAGUGAGGAAUUUUGGUCAAUGGGGGAAACCCUGAACCAGCGACGCCGCGUGUGGGAUGAAGGAGCUCUGCUCUGUAAACCACUGUUGAGAGGGAGGAAAAGUUUCCCUUGGGAACUGGGACUGUACCUCUUCAGAAAGGUUCGGCUAACUACGUGCCAGCAGCCGCGGUAAUACGUAGGAACCAAGCGUUGUCCGGAAUUACUGGGUGUAAAGGGUGCGUAGGCGGGCAUGUGCGUCAGAGGUUAAAUCCCACGGCUCAACCGUGGACCUGCCUUUGAUACGGCAUGUCUUGAGUGCGAGAGAGGAUGGUAGAAUUCCAGGUGUAGCGGUGAAAUGCGUAGAUAUCAGGAGGAAUACCGGUGGCGAAGGCGGCCAUCUGGCUCGUCACUGACGCUGAGGCACGAAAGCGUGGGGAGCAAACAGGAUUAGAUACCCUGGUAGUCCACGCCCUAAACGAUGUAUGCUUGGCGUUGGGGGAAUUAUCCCUCAGUGCCGAAGGUAACCCAUUAAGCAUACCACCUGGGGAGUACGAUCGCAAGGUUGAAACUCAAAGGAAUUGACGG